AUGCCAGACUAACAAGCCACUGCUGUGUGGUCAGGACAAAAGCAGCCUGCCCCUUCCAGGGAGCCAGGGAGCCAGGCAGCCAAGGACCCAAGGAGCCAGCCUCAUGACAGCUUCAUGACCACCACAGCGAGGGUUAGACUUCACGCCACCCUCUGUCCUUUCAGUGCCAAACUCCUGGAGACCCAGAAGUUCCUUGGACAGGAUGGUUCUCAUCUUGUGAUAUGGCUCUAGCUGUUCUCAACUUGCAGAAUUUAGGGUCCACAGGAAAGAGAGCUGAGCGUUGGAGAGACGGAUGUGUGAAUGUCUGGACUGUACUGAGAGGCGCAAUGGGGCAGAACAAGAUGUCCCACCCCGGAACUGCUUCUGAAGUCUGGACCUGAGAGGGAAGGAUGAAUAGUCAGCAGGGUGGAUGUACAGCAGAAUUCACAGCCAUCAAGGUCGAAGAAUAAACCUGAGCUACUGAAUGUCCCUGAGACUGCAGGGUUGGCUGGUGCUGCAGAGUGGCUUAACAACCAGCCACUGUCAAAGCUUCUCAUUCAUACUGGUGAAAUACUAAGUAAGACAUGGCUGGAGGAAGUGCCUGGGUUCUGGCUCUGUCUGAAAUUCCCUUUUGUCAUCUGAAUUUUCUGUGUUCACCACCAAUAUGGGCUGCAUUUUAAUGGCAUAUUUAAUAUUAACAGCAGAAAAUUAUGAAUCAUCUUGUAAAUACUCAAAGUUCAGAGUUGAAAUACCAAAACAUCGUCAGCU